CCUCAGCCAAAAUGAUCAGUGGUCUCAGGUACAAAGUAAAGAUCAUUACAGAACAACACCACCUGCCUCAUUUGAGCAAAUCAAACCACAAGACUCAGAAGAUCACUGUGGAAGAAAGACACUGGGCCAACCCUUUCUGUUGAUAUGACAAAGUCCAGCCCAGUUUGGUGUUCCUUCCACCCUGAAGGAGUCUCACAUCAGGUCAGGCCAUCAAGAGGAGGAAAAGGACUGAAGACUGAAGAUGAGAUGCUCUACUUCACACAGUUGCCCUCUGGAAGGACUUGCAAAGGCAGUCACUUAAAUUAAGUACAGGUCAUCAGACAAGAUAUCUAAUCUAUUCCUAAGACAGGCAGCUCUUGCAGUCCAAAUCCCCAUGGCCUUUGCAGCGACACGAUGAACUACUUCCUCAUGUACCUCUGUCAAUUCACGUUAGGUUGCAGUUUUUUUAAAGCGAUAUUUCAUGUACAUCAUGACCCUAUUGCUCAAAGCAAGGAAAGUGCUUUGGUUUAUUUAUGACCUACUAACCUUAAAUAAAAAAAAAAAUACAUCCAAUCUGAAUGUUCACAUAAGCCUGCAGAUCUGAAAUAAAAUUUAAAAUAAAGCUGGCAUUUGUAACAGCUAGCUAAGCCCAAUAAGGGAUUUUAAAAAAAUGAAAACCAGAUGAAAGAAGAUGAAAGCAUAUUUACCCUGCAUAACCUGCACACAUCAGGAAUCAGGGCUGGAACCCAGAAAUACCUUUUGUGCUUAGAAGUUUCAGCCCAUUUCACAGGCUAGGUGACCAAGGAAAUACUGAGGAUUUCCAUUGUGGGGGGUGGGGAGGCAUUAAUAACAACCUGUGAAAGUAAUUCCUUCCAAGAUGCAAUCCACCCAGCCACAAGCUCUACACAGCUUCUCUCCUUCCCCUGCACCCCAUCCUAAUUGCCAGAUAUCAACCAGGCAAGCCCCCAUACUGAAAUAUGAAGUGACAGAUGGAAGCAGGGAAUAAGGGCACAGGAAUGAGUACUGAAAGAAAUGGAGAACAGAAAACAAGCUUAUAAUAGGGUAGAUCUUAAACAUGAGCAACCCUUAAUCAUAAAGUUAAUUCAUUUGGCUAGAACAAAGUUGAACAGAUGCAUGUAAGACUGAGUUGGAGAGCCUUAUUCUCUCAUCACUCAUGCCAGUGUGCAGAGGUCUUCUCCUAACAUCCAUGGAAUUAAACCUUGGAAAUUUCACUACAAAUAAAUGGAGAAAUAAAAAUAAUCGCAGCUAAAUAUUGGCAGCAAAUAUCCUGUGCUGCUGUAUUGGGAAAGGAAGGUGGGCUGCUACAUUUCAUUAAAAUGUAUUUGAUUUAGCUAUAUUCAUGAUCAAAAGUGGCCUUCAUAAACAAAACCCAUCUAAUCCACCAAAAUAGUUGAUUCUGUUCUGGUCUAGUUCUCCAGCAGGCUAUAUUAAUGACUUUUUCUUUUAGUUGUAUUAGAUGGAAAAUGCAGUUGAGUCAACUAAUGCAAUAAAUACCUCCACACACAGAACAAUUAGUUGAAAGAAACAGUUAGGACCAAGUCCUUGUCAUAGUGUUUGUUUAGAAAAUAGGCUGGGGCAGCACACUGAUCAACUCCAGUCCUUUAGUGUGGGUUCCCUUAACACAAAUACAGACAAAACCCAAACAUUUAUAAAGCCUUAUAAAUAACAACGGAUGGGAGAGGGAGAGAGUAGAGGGCAUCAUUAUCCAAAGGAUAAGGUAAACAAACAACAAUUCAUGUAAGUCAAUGAAUCUGUCAUGGAAUUUCAGCACAGUUAGGAGUGGACCUAGCAGAAAAGAAAUCUGACAAGUUGAGCUUCAAGAACACCUGCAUAAGAACUCUGCUCACAAAUGAAAAUAAGGUAAAAUUUCUGGAUUACCAUGUUUUGUCUUCUUAUCUGGCCUCUAAAAUUCUUCUGCAACACAAAACCUACAACCUUAAUUUUUAAGUAUUAUUUAUUUUUAUUAAUAAUUAGGACAAUUGAGUUGGAAAGCUCAGAAGGUUAGGAAAAAGUGCUGUGUUACUGUGGAAAUUUUUAAGAAUAAAGACUUUACUGUGUGAUGAUCAGCUGAAUGCGUACAACAUGCUGACACAAAAAAAAAAAAAUACAAUAAAUACAGGUCAAGCCUUGAUAUACAGUCGCCUUUUUACCUCCUGAAAACUAUCACAACAGGUUCUGCAUGUGUGAAAAUUUGUAAGGAAAAAAAGGCCUUCUGUCUCUGAGAUAUUUUUUGAAAAAUUAAGCCUUCUUUAAAGAAAAUUUAUUUUUAUCAAUUCUCAACAAGUUUUAAUCCAAUUGAACCAUGUCAAUAGAAGAAAUUUUGUUCAAUUGAGCAAUCUCUAAUUGGCAACACUAAUUUGUAAAACUCUCAGCCAGCUCUGUUCAUUUAUGGGAUCUCAUGUUUUGUUUUACUGUGAAGUUCAGUCUUGUGAAAUAACAGACAACAUUAAUCCACUCGUGCCUGAAUCUCUAACCUUUAUUUUUAAAGCCUGAAUAAGAGAAACAUAUUUUCCUUUCAUAGAAAGAAGUCUGGAAAACUGCCAGCUCCUUGCAGAAAGACUGAAACAUGAUCUGCAGAGAAGGGUGUUGGUGUUGACAUUUGAGGAUGCAGUCAAGUCAAUGGAGUUCUGUUGUAGUGGUUGCUUCAGUGAACAUUCAACGCUGUCGGUGAGUUUGGAAUUAAAGUGAAAACCAUCGACCGUUGAUUGUACCCUCCAGCUAACCAUCCUCCUCCUUACUUCAUGCUUUCAGGCCUUAACACCGAAGAUAGCAACCUAACCAUCUUAUGAUGUUUCUCCCUCACCCUGCCAAGCUUUACAAAAAGGUCACAAUCAACAUUCAUUGCUGUCGGUGGGUUUAACUAUGUGGACAAGCUCACUGAACAAUGAAUGCAACUGUGGCCCCACAUUGUACAGUUGCUGUUGAGAGGAGCAGCAGCUCUGAAGGCAAUAGUGAGAAGCAAACACUUGUUAUAAGCUACAGUUUUCUGGUCAGAAAAAUAGUUGGGGGUAUCCACUUUUUGCUUGCUUGGUUUUGUGUGUUUAACUUAGCUGACUAGAAAAAAAAAACUUGCUGCCUUUUUCUGGAGUAUUGUCCUCACAGGGUUCAGUACCAUUGAAAAUGUGAAAAUUCUUAUUUAGUAUGUGUGCAGAAAAAAAUAACAGGAUAGGAAGCUCUGUAUAUCCACUCCUAAGGAUUCUGACAUAAGAGAAAAGAAUAUUUAAUUGUCAUUUAACUAAGCAUUGUUGAAGAGUCAAAAGUUUAUUCUAUACUUGUCAUGACAAAUACAACUGGGAACAAAUGGGAUUUAAGAGUUGUGGAUAAAAAUGUUACAUCAAAAAAUAUUAAUUAAUUUUACAUUAAACUAAUUUUAAGAACAUAGAUACUAUUACAUUUGCUAUUUUUAGAGAUCUGCAAAAUGACAAAGAAAUGUAUAUCCAGAAAUAAUGGAAAAGCAGUUAAAUUUUAAAGUUACUGUAAACUGAGUACCUAUGUCACACUCUGAGUUUUACAAUAAGAAAAUAAAGCGUAAAUAAGCUCACAA